rnacentral:lncRNA from 1 species
UUCGUGUUUUGGUGAUUCGGCUCCGGUCAACCUGUAGAGAAAAGAAUGGUGAUCACGGUGAUAUAAAAAUUGCAUCAAACGGAGGCCGGGAAGGGCCUCAUCGGAGGCAAAAACCGAGAAGGGGUGCGGCGGCGCCGCUGGGCUUCGGCCGUGUAUUCCGGCCGUUUGGCCGGGAUUUUAGCUCCGAUUUGGCCACAUGAGGAAUCAGUGUGGAAAAACGAGUCGGGGGUACGAAAUUUACCUCGAUCGGCGGUCGGAAAUUCCUCUGGUGCGGCGGCGGGUGGCAGCGGCCGGCUUCUAGUUCGUCUUCUCCGGCGAGCGGCAGGCGGCUAGGGUUUGUGGUCUGGUGUGGGGGUUCUAUUUAUAACCCUUUGCCUUUUGAUCUCAGCCGUCCAUUUUGUUUUAAUCUGGG